AAGUAGGCCUUGAGUCAGUUUUCAAGGGCAAUUUCAAUAAAUUUCAUGUACAUGUGAGACGAUCUUUUUUCAGUUUAACAAGCUAAUGUCGUUGGUAGCUUUUUGAGCUGAAAA